rnacentral:tRNA from 1 species
UCAAAAAAUAGUUUAAAUUUAAAAUAAAUGUUUUGGGAUGMAUAGCUUGAGUAUUCUUUUUUUUGA